CUACGGGUCGCUGCAGUGAGGAAUUUUGCGCAAUGGGGGUAACCCUGACGCAGCAACGCCGCGUGAGUGAUGAAGGCUUUCGGGUCGUAAAGCUCUGUCAAGUGGGAAGAAUAUACGAAAUGCUAAUACCAUUUUGUACUGACGGUACCACUGAAGGAAGCACCGGCUAACUCCGUGCCAGCAGCCGCGGUAAUACGGGGGGUGCAAGCGUGAUUCGGAAUUAUUGGGCGUAAAGAGCACGUAGGCGGCCGCUUAAGUCAGAUGUGAAAGCCCGGGGCUCAACCCCGGAAGUGCAUUUGAAACUAAGUGGCUUGAGUAUGGGAGAGGGAAGUGGAAUUCCUGGUGUAGAGGUGAAAUUCGUAGAUAUCAGGAGGAACACCGGUGGCGAAGGCGACUUCCUGGACCAAUACUGACGCUGAGGUGCGAAGGCGUGGGGAGCAAACAGGAUUAGAUACCCUGGUAGUC
rnacentral:rRNA from 1 species